rnacentral:snoRNA from 10 species
AUCCUUUUGAAGUUCAUGAGUGUGAGAACUGGGUGUUCACCCGCAUGUGUGAGAUGUGCCACCCGCAAACCUUGUUAUGACAUUGGCACAUUACCGAAAAAAAA